UAGAACACGGGCUUUGCUGACCAUCAGCUGAGACCAGCAGCCCAGCGUCUGCCAUCUCUUCCCUGCAUGACCAGGCCUUCAGGGCUCAGGCAGGGAGUGCUCUCCAGUGGCUUCCCCUACCCUGCCCUGUCUGUCUCAUCAGCUCAUCUCCUUGGAAGUGCGACGACAUUCCCAAUGAUGUCAGGACACUGGGCUUCACUUUCUCAUGGACUUAGGGGUAUAAAUCGGUUUUGGUUACAUGGAUGAAUUGUAUAGGUGAUAUCCAGGAUGUUAGUGUACCAGUCGAUGAAUAGUGUACGUUGCACCUGCAAAGCCCUGUAAGGGAAGGCUUCAGCUAGUCCUUGGACACUGAUCCAUCUCAUCUUCCUCUUGACAGAUCUGGAAGUGAGGAAGUCUGUAAGUCGCCUUGCCAGAUGCAACCAC